CUCCUACGGGAGGCAGCAGUGGGGAAUUUUGGACAAUGGGCGAAAGCCUGAUCCAGCCAUACCGCGUGAGUGAAGAAGGCCUUCGGGUUGUAAAGCUCUUUCAGCCGGAAAGAAAUUGCACUUCUUAAUACGAAGUGUAGAUGACGGUACCGGAAGAAGAAGCACCGGCUAACUACGUGCCAGCAGCCGCGGUAAUACGUAGGGUGCGAGCGUUAAUCGGAAUUACUGGGCGUAAAGCGUGCGCAGGCGGUUUUAUAAGCCAGAUGUGAAAUCCCCGGGCUCAACCUGGGAACUGCAUUUGGAACUGUAAGACUAGAGUAUAGCAGAGGGAGGUAGAAUUCCACGUGUAGCAGUGAAAUGCGUAGAUAUGUGGAGGAAUACCGAUGGCGAAGGCAGCCCCCUGGGUCGACACUGACGCUCAUGCACGAAAGCGUGGGUAGCAAACAGGAUUAGAUACCCUGGUAGUCCACGCCCUAAACGAUGUCAACUAGUUGUUGGGGAGGGAGACCUCCUUAGUAACGCAGCUAACGCGUGAAGUUGACCGCCUGGGGAGUACGGUCGCAAGAUUAAAACUCAAAGGAAUUGACGG
rnacentral:rRNA from 1 species